GUCAGCUCUGGCAACUAAAGUCCUUUAUUUAUUUAUAGAGCAGAUACAGCCUGGGCAGCAGCAGCAGCACUGCAAACAUUCCCACAUUGCCCCACCACUGUGCCUCAACCUUUCCAUGGAGAGACCAUCUUUAGGGGUAAGAGAGUAGCUCAGGUGCCAUGCCUUUGGCCCCUCUGUUAAG
rnacentral:sRNA from 1 species